CGAAUAAAGGCGUAGCCACCCAUAUUUUUAAUAAUUUAAUGUUAUUCUGUAUUUAAAUUUAGGGUUGAAUAGAUAUCUUUGAGAAGAUUCGGAUUAGUGCAUGAGCAGAGGCAAUGGCGGCUAUGGAUGAUGUUAGGGCAAGCUCCGCUUGGGUGGCUGCUCGCUCGGCUCACGUCGUCGUGGACUCCUCAGGAAUCGAGAAAGCUGUGGAGGAGAUUCAAGACUCGAUUCCCAAAGUUAAGUGGGAUUUUGAAGGGAUUCAUUACUUCGACAAUGGGCCGCUGACGGUUCAGUACUUGUUUGUUUUGGAUGCUUUGAAUUUCUGCUUUUGGCCUGACAAGGAUUUAAGUUAUGAUCAUUUGGCCUUGGGGCUGAAGGAAGCUCUGCAAAAUGACAAAUCUGUGUUUGAUGCUGAUCGAUUGCAAAAGAUCACUGGUCCUCAAUUACGCGAGUUGUUGAAAUGGCCUAGGCCACUUCCUUUGGAGAAUGAACGUGUUCGCUUACUGCAUGAGGUUGGGCUUGAACUGGAAAGAAGCUUUGAGGGAAAAGCGUCUAAACUUGUGGAGUCUUGUGGAAAAUCAGCUGCAAAUCUUGUAGCUCUUGUUACUCGCCACUUUCCUGGCUUUCGAGACCACUCAGUGUACAAAGGCCAUCAGGUGUUCUUGUACAAAAGAGCUCAGAUAUUUGCAGCCGACCUAUGGGGUGCAUUUGAGGGCCAAGGUUAUGGGGAGUUCAACGAUAUUAGCUCAAUUACCAUAUUUGCAGACUAUAUUGUUCCAGCUGUGCUUCGACAACUUGGUGUCUUGAGAUAUAGUUCGGACUUAGCCAGCAUUAUUGAGGCUAAUAGGGAAAUAGGUUCAGGUAGUGAAGAGGAAGUCGAAUUACGGGCUUGCUCCAUAUAUGCUGUGGAGAAAAUGAGGGAGUUGCUCAGCAAAAAAUCAGGAAAUCAGGUACUGAGCGUGGAAUUGGAUCUUUGGCUCUGGUCCUUUGGCAUCCAGUGUCAAUCUCUUCAACACCAUAGGACACUGUCUAUAUACUACUGAGAGGAUUAUAUGCAAGUGGUUUAAUGUAUCAUGUGCUCACUGAAUUAUAUUACAUGAGAAAAUAUUUGCUGUGCAGUCUGGUACCAUAAUUUGCCUUUUUCCCUUGACCUCUGGACCUUGCAUGAACUUGUUCAGUAUGUAUUUUUGGAAUCUUUGAUAGCAAGACCUUGGCUUUGAUGAUAAAAUCAACUUGGCGAACCAGUGCUUCUAAUAACAGUUCAUGGAACCACUUGACUAAGAGAUAAAUGGUUGAUGGGUGUGUUUAUGGCAUUUGCUUUGUGAGACAAUUAAGUACACUCUUUAUUUUCAGAAAUACACAAAUGGAGUACUAGUGCAAAUACUUGUUUUGUUUUGUUGAAAUUUCACUAUCUGAAUCAGUGGGAGCAAUGUAGCAUCCUGAAAAACCUGGAGUCAUUUUAUGGUCCUAGUAUAUAUGAGCAAUGUACAACUGUUAAGCUA